CACGUAGGGCGCAAGCGUUGUCCGGAAUUAUUGGGCGUAAAGAGCUCGUAGGCGGUCUGUUGCGUCCGCUGUGAAAACUCGGGGCUUAACCCCGAGCCUGCAGUGGAUACGGGCAGACUAGAGGUAGGUAGGGGAGAAUGGAAUUCCCGGUGUAGUGGUGAAAUGCGUAGAGAUCGGGAGGAACACCUGUGGCGAAGGCGGCCGACUGGGCCGACCCUGACGCUGAGGCGCGAAGGCGUGGGAGCGAACGGG
rnacentral:rRNA from 1 species